rnacentral:rRNA from 1 species
UCUGACUNGAGUGCAGAAGGGGAGAGUGGAAUUCCAUGUGUAGCGGUGAAAUGCGUAGAUAUAUGGAGGAACACCAGUGGCGAAAGCGGCUCUCUGGUCUGUCACUGACGCUGAGGCUCGAAAGCGUGGGUAGCGAACAGGAUUAGAUACCCUGGUAGUCCACGCCGUAAACGAUGAGUGCUAGGUGUUAGGCCCUUUCCGGGGCUUAGUGCCGGAGCUAACGCAAUAAGCACUCCGCCUGGGGAGUACGACCGCAAGGUUGAAACUCAAAGGAAUUGACGGGGGCCCGCACAAGCGGUGGAGCAUGUGGUUUAAUUCGAAGCAACGCGAAGAACCUUACCAGGUCUUGACAUCCCGAUGCUAUUCUUAGAGAUAGGAAGUUACUUCGGUACAUCGGAGACAGGUGGUGCAUGGUUGUCGUCAGCUCGUGUCGUGAGAUGUUGGGUUAAGUCCCGCAACGAGCGCAACCCUUAUUGUUAGUCGCCAUCAUUAAGUUGGGCACUCUAGCGAGACUGCCGGUAAUAAACCGGAGGAAGGUGGGGAUGACGUCAAAUCAUCAUGCCCCUUAUGACCUGGGCUACACACGUGCUACAAUGGUCGGUACAACGAGUUGCGAGCCGGUGACGGCAAGCUAAUCUCUGAAAGCCGAUCUCAGUUCGGAUUGGAGGCUGCAACUCGCCUCCAUGAAGUCGGAAUCGCUAGUAAUCGCGGAUCAGCACGCCGCGGUGAAUACGUUCCCGGGCCUUGUACACACCGCCCGUCACACCACGAGAGUUUGUAACACCCGAAGUCGGUGAGGUAACCUUUUAGGGGCCAGCCGCC